rnacentral:lncRNA from 1 species
UUAAAUUACGUUUGGGGAGUUAUUUAAGAAAAUGUAAUCUAAACAGGGAAGCACCGGAAAAUGAACCAAAUAUUUUAGAAAAAAAUACCAGACCAAAUACAUAAAUAACUACAAAAAACAACGUAUAUUUUUUUUUUAAAUUAUUAUUAUUAUUUAAAUCACGGUAGGAAGAAGCUAACGAGCAUUAUGCUAAUUAUGCGCAUUAAGCUCAGGUAAGUGUGUUAAAGACGAGCCUACGUAAUCAGGGGAAGAGCGUCAGGUGUGUCGAUGUUGCUGUCUUCUAUGAGUUGAUGCUCCUGCUGACAAAUGGCGGAUAGAAGCAGGUAGCAGCAUCCCGUGACACCUGGGAGCAGGAGGGAGACGAGAAGCCGCUCGGCGCCGGUUCCUAUUAAUAAAAACGAGGCAUCAAACGGCUUCUCGCUGAGCGGAGACGUGUUUACAAAAGCUGUCGGAGGAGAGAGAUGGAGCCCAAACCACCGAACCGUUGGGGGAUUCGUUUGCUCCUGUCUGAAUAAUGCUGCCUCCUAAUGUAGCAAGCAAAAACAACGGGGAGAUCCUAGAAGAACAUGGCAAGCACGUGUUCGUCGAUGCUGCUAGUCCCAGUCACCGGUCUCAAGAACAGUCCCGCUACCGCCUCCGUGUCCACGGCGCGCAGGGUGCUCAGGACCACGCGAAGCUUGCCGGACCGGCUCGCGUUCCCCCGGUACACCGUCCCCACGUGCUCAUAGAGCGCGCGCUCAGCCUCCCUCUGAAGCGCGUGGAUGUACUCCUGACACUCCAGCUCAGGCACUUUAACAAGGCGGACACAGACAGGGAGACAUGUUGGGCUGUUUAA